UAGUUUAUAACCUUGGUCAGGAUUUUUCCCGUUUUGUCUUUCAGAGCCUGAAAAUCGCGAACAUGUUUUCCGAUCUGAACUAUUGAUCCAGGUCUCCAUGGAAACUGGAGGCUCACGGCCUUCCUCUCGUGUUUACGUUCAUCUAUAAGACAUUAACUCGGAUCAGGAGCCUCCUGCUGUCGGAGCGUCACGGUUCGCCGAACGUCUGUUUUCCUCCAGGUUGAGCCCGCAGAAACUCCUGGGAGCGAGCUUUGUGGAGCCGGCCACAGCGGGACGUUUCCACCCAAACUUUUCACUCUGACCAGAGGAAGCGGCCCGGUUCUGCAGCUCAGAACCGGACCAGGGGGAACCGGGCUGAACGUCCAAUCUGCGCCACAUGUGUGGAAAUAAAUGAUAGUUUCCAAAGCGUC